rnacentral:misc_RNA from 1 species
AACGCAUAUUGCGCCCGAAGCUUCGGCUUAGGGCAUGCCUGCCUCAGCGUCGUUUUUUAACCCUCGCUCCACGCUAUAUCGUGCAUCUCCUCACGCUUAUAGUGAAGCAAUGACUCGUUCCACUUGCUUAAGGAGCGGAUCUGACUCUCCCAUUCCGUACAUGUGACAUGGGUUAGUUGAAACACAGAGCAUGAGCAAGGACCAAUAUACGCUCCAACUGGACAGGUUCGCAGAACGUGCCGAGUUGGUCAUAUAUCCCUUGCACAUGCAAAGCAGGAUUUUUUGUUUUUGACCUGAGCUCAGGCAAGAUUACCCGCUGAACUUAA